AACGAACGCUGGCGGCAGGCUUAACACAUGCAAGUCGAACGCAUCCUUCGGGGUGAGUGGCAGACGGGUGAGUAACGCGUGGGAACGUGCCCUUCAGUUCGGGAUAACCCAGGGAAACUUGGGCUAAUACCGGAUACGUGCGAGAGCAGAAAGAUUUAUCGCUGGAGGAUAGGCCCGCCGUCUGAUUGUGUAGUUGGUGGGGUAAUGGCCCAACAAGGCGACGAUAAGUAGCUCGUCUGAGGGGAUGAGCGGCCACAUUGGGAUUGAGACACGGCCCAACCUCCUACGGAGGGAGGCAGUGGGGAAUAUUGGACAAUGGGCGCAAUCCUAAUCCGGCCAUGCCGAGUGAGUAAUGAAGGCCUUAGGAUUGUAAGCUCUUUCGUCCGGGACGAUAAUGACGGUACCGGAAGAAGAAGCACCGGCUAACUUCGUGCCAGCCGCCGCUGUAA
rnacentral:rRNA from 1 species